UACGGAGGGUGCAAGCGUUAUCCGGAUUUACUGGGUUUAAAGGGUGUGUAGGCGGACUUUUAAGUCAGUGGUGAAAUCUCCGGGCUCAACCCGGAAACUGCCAUUGAUACUAUUGGUCUUGAAUAUUGUGGAGGUGGGCGGAACGGGUCAUGUAGCGGUGAAAUGCUUAGAGAUGACCCGGAACACCGAUUGCGAAGGCAGCCCACUACGCGAUUAUUGACACUGAGGCACGAAAGCGUGGGGAUCAAACAGG
rnacentral:rRNA from 1 species